rnacentral:misc_RNA from 1 species
AAGUCGUAACAAGGUUUCCGUAGGUGAACCUGCGGAAGGAUCAUUAACACGUAUCCAACGUUAAACCCCCCUGUGAACUUUUAUACUUGCUCUCUUAACUGACGGAAUUGCAAUCCCUGGUAAAUCAUUGUUGAACAGAUUUUGAUUCAGGGACCUCAGUUUGGCAGUUAGGAUUGAGCGAUCGUUGCAAGUGGCCCACUACCUGAUUCCGCCUCGUAGGAAACUGCUGGGCAACAAAACGAACAACUGUUAACAAUGGAUAUCUUGGUUCUC